AGUGCUAUGAUGAGAUUAAAACACCAGGAAGUGUUAUUAGGCAGUGGACGAAAUCAAAUGGUUUCGCCGUGAGCUUAUUUUUAAAACGACUUCUCCUUCCACUGAGCACU